UACGGGGGGGGCAAGCGUUGUUCGGAAUUACUGGGCGUAAAGGGCGCGUAGGCGGUUUGCUAAGUUGAAUGUGAAAACUCUGGGCUUAACCCAGAGCCUGCAUUCAAUACUGGCAGGCUAGAGUUCUGGAGGGGAUAGCGGAAUUCCUGGUGUAGCGGUGAAAUGCGUAGAUAUCAGGAGGAACACCUGUGGUGUAGACAGCUUACUGGACCACGACUGACGCUGAGACACGAAAGCGUGGGUAGCAAACAGG
rnacentral:rRNA from 1 species